rnacentral:tRNA from 1 species
CAGAGUUUAGUUUAACGUAGGAAAACAUCUCCCUUACACUGAGAAGACUGUCCGUGCAAACCGGAUUGCUCUGA